GUGGGGAAUUUUGGACAAUGGCGGAAACCCUGAUCCAGCAAUGCCGCGUGUGUGAAGAAGGCCUUCGGGUUGUAAAGCACUUUUGUCAGGAACGAAACGGCGAGGGCUAAUAUCCCUUGCUAAUGACGGUACCUGAAGAAUAAGCACCGGCUAACUACGUGCCAGCAGCCGCGGUAAUACGUAGGGUGCAAGCGUUAAUCGGAAUUACUGGGCGUAAGGCGUGCGCAGGCGGUUGUGCAAGACAGAUGUGAAAUCCCCGGGCUUAACCUGGGAAUUGCAUUUGUGACUGCACGGCUAGAGUGUGUCAGAGGGGGGUAGAAUUCGACGUGUAGCAGUGAAAUGCGUAGAUAUGUGGAGGAAUACCGAUGGCGAAGGCAGCCCCCUGGGAUAACACUGACGCUCAUGCACGAAAGCGUGGGGAGCAAACAGGAUUAGAUACCCUUGUAGUCC
rnacentral:rRNA from 1 species